CCUGAUGCAGCGACGCCGCGUGAGGGACGAAUGCCUUCGGGUUGUAAACCUCUUUCAGCAGGGAAGAAGCGAAAGUGACGGUACCUGCAGAAGAAGCGCCGGCUAACUACGUGCCAGCAGCCGCGGUAAUACGUAGGGCGCAAGCGUUAUCCGGAAUUAUUGGGCGUAAAGAGCUCGUAGGCGGUUUGUCGCGUCUGCUGUGAAAGCCCGGGGCUCAACCCCGGGUCUGCAGUGGGUACGGGCAGACUAGAGUGAUGUAGGGGAGACUGGAAUUCCUGGUGUAGCGGUGAAAUGCGCAGAUAUCAGGAGGAACACCGAUGGCGAAGGCAGGUCUCUGGGCAUUAACUGACGCUGAGGAGCGAAAGCAUGGGGAGCGAACAGGAUUAGAUACCCUGGUAGUCCAUGCCGUAAACGUUGGGCACUAGGUGUGGGGGACAUUCCACGUUUUCCGCGCCGUAGCUAACGCAUUAAGUGCCCCGCCUGGG
rnacentral:rRNA from 1 species